CACACUCUCAAAGAGGGUGGCAGGUGCCUAUGCGGCUGGGGCAGAUUUGUCCCCCUGCAGUACGGUGGUCCUGGGCCCUGGCCACCCCCUACCCCUGCUGUCUGUGUGUGUGGGUCCUGUGGGCGUGGCAAGCUGCAGGUGACUAUGCAGAGCCCAUCAGCAGAG